AACAAGUCUGCCUGCCUGAGUGAAGUGCAUGCUCCUGUCCUCCCCUCCACGCAGCCUCUUCUUAAUCCUCAGGGUCAUUUUCCUUUUAGCUGGCAGGACUUCAGUGCAUCUCUCCAGAGAAGUAAGCAAAGCCAAAACUCUUCCUAAACGAAAGGAAUGGCCAACCCAGAGGGAAUACAAGAGAGAGCAGGGGUGUGGUUACCUGAUGGCUCACCUGUGGAGCACCCAGGUGUUUUCACUUACCCCUGAUUGCAGCCUCCUCCUCAGCACUGGCUCAGUGGUGCUGGGCUUUGCAGAGCAGCUUGCUGCUGUUUGCAUGAUGGUUUCACCCUGCUGCUGUCUGCUGAACAUCCAGCUACAGAGGACUGGACAGUUUAUACAUGGAACAAGCCAAAAACCCAUCUCCACACUUGGCCUUUCUGAGAACUCCAAACGUGACCCUGGACAUCCCAUCCCACUCGGCCUGGCUGGCACAUCAGCACCUAGGAAUGCAUGGAAAACUUCUCUUGGUGUUAUGUCUUGCUGUGAAUGGCAAUGCCCAGGUUAG
rnacentral:lncRNA from 14 species